rnacentral:rRNA from 1 species
GACGAACGCUGGCGGCGUGCUUAACACAUGCAAGUCGAGCGGUAAGGCCCUUUCGGGGGUACACGAGCGGCGAACGGGUGAGUAACACGUGGGUGACCUGCCCUCAGCUCUGGGAUAAGCCUGGGAAACCGGGUCUAAUACCGGAUAUGACUCCAUGACGCAUGUUGUGGGGUGGAAAGCCUUGUGCGGCUGAGGAUGGGCCCGCGGCCUAUCAGCUUGUUGGUGGGGUGAUGGCCUACCAAGGCGACGACGGGUAGCCGGCCUGAGAGGGCGACCGGCCACACUGGGACUGAGACACGGCCCAGACUCCUACGGGAGGCAGCAGUGGGGAAUCUUGCGCAAUGGGCGAAAGCCUGACGCAGCGACGCCGCGUGAAGGAUGAAAUCCCUCGGGAUGUAAACUUCGCAAGAACGGGAAGAAUAAGCGAGAGUUAAUAUCUUUCGUGAUGACGGUACCGUUUGUAAGCUCCGGCUAACUCCGUGCCAG